UCGAUUCCACUCCCAAGCCGCCGUCGUUCUACUGAUUCAACCACCACCUGCAUCGCCUUCGAUUCCGCUCCCAAAAACCGCCUAAGCCGUCGUUCUACUAAUUCAACCACCACCACCAGCAUCGCUUGGCCAACGGAAGAAGAUACCCUGUAGCAGUUAUGCUGGUGGUCAGUGGGCUGCUGGUGAUGAACCAUUGUAUUAUAUAGUGUCCCCAAAUGAUGUAGUUAUUGCUAAACCUAGGGAUGCAGAAGAUCACAUAUCUUGGCUUCUUGAACGUGGAUACCAUGAGAAAGCCUUGGAAGCCGUUGAAGCUGGUCAAGGUCGGAGUGAGCUUCUUGAUGAGGUAGGUGUUUUUUAUUUGGUUUGACUGGGUUUCAAACUGUACAUAAAUCUGUUAACACUGGUGAUUUUGGCUCCAUGAGUAUAUGUUUUGUUAGUAUAUCCCCAACUUUCCUUUGUUUCAUGUUCUCCUCAUUGCCAUAGACAUUCAUUUUUCAUUUGUUGAGUGUGUAUGUCACAUCCUUUCCUCUACAUUAUAUGC